rnacentral:rRNA from 1 species
AUUGAACGCUGGCGGCAGGCCUAACACAUGCAAGUCGAACGAGUGGCGGACGGGUGAGUAAUGUCUGGGAAACUGCCUGAUGGAGGGGGAUAACUACGGGAAACGGUAGCUAAUACCGCAUACCAUCAGAUGUGCCCAGAUGGGAUUAGCUUGUUGGUGGGGUAAAGGCUCACAAAGGCGACGAUCCCUAGCUGGUCUGAGAGGAUGACCAGCCACACUGGAACUAAGACACGGCCAAGACUCCUACGGGAGGCAGCAUUGGGGAAUAUUGCACAAUGGGGGCAAGCCUGAGGCAGCAAGGCCGCGUGGAUGAAGAAGGCCUUCGGGUUGUAAAGUACUUUCAGCGGGGAGGCGUUACCCGCAGAAGAAGCACCGGCUAACUCCGUGCCAGCAGCCGCGGUAAUUC